GAUGAACGCUGGCGGCGUGCCUAAUACAUGCAAGUCGAGCGAACGGACGAGAAGCUUGCUUCUCUGAUGUUAGCGGCGGACGGGUGAGUAACACGUGGAUAACCUACCUAUAAGACUGGGAUAACUUCGGGAAACCGGAGCUAAUACCGGAUAAUAUUUUGAACCGCAUGGUUCAAAAGUGAAGGACGGUCUUGCUGUCACUUAUAGAUGGAUCCGCGCUGCAUUAGCUAGUUGGUAGGGUAACGGCUUACCAAGGCAACGAUGCAUAGCCGACCUGAGAGGGUGAUCGGCCAAACUGGAACUGAGACACGGUCCAGACUCCUACGGGAGGCAGCAGUAGGGAAUCUUCCGCAAUGGGCGAAAGCCUGACGGAGCAACGCCGCGUGAGUGAUGAAGGUCUUCGGAUCGUAAAACUCUGUUAUUAGGGAAGAACAUAUGUGUAAGUAACUGUGCACAUCUUGACGGUACCUAAUCAGAAAGCCACGGCUAACUACGUG
rnacentral:rRNA from 1 species